rnacentral:rRNA from 1 species
GUCCGCAACGAGCGCAACCCUACGUUUAGUUGCUAACGCGUGAAGGCGAGCACUCUAGACGAACUGCCGUUGCAAAACGGAGGAAGGUGGGGAUGACGUCAAAUCAUCAUGCCCCUUAUGUUCUGGGCUACACACGUGCUACAAUGGCCGGUACAGACGGAGGCGAAGCCGCGAGGCGGAGCAAAUCCGAAAAAGCCGGUCUCAGUUCGGAUUGCAGGCUGCAAUUCGCCUGCAUGAAGUCGGAAUCGCUAGUAAUCGCAGGUCAGCAUACUGCGGUGAAUACGUUCCCGGGCCUU